UACGUAGGGUGCGAGCGUUGUCCGGAAUUAUUGGGCGUAAAGAGCUCGUAGGUGGCCUGUCGCGUCGGCUGUGAAAACUCGGGGCUCAACUCCGAGCUUGCAGUCGAUACGGGCAGGCUAGAGUUCGGCAGGGGAGACUGGAAUUCCUGGUGUAGCGGUGAAAUGCGCAGAUAUCAGGAGGAACACCGGUGGUGUAAACGGCUUUCUGGACCGUAACUGACGCUGAUGCACGAAAGCGUGGGUAGCAAACAGG
rnacentral:rRNA from 1 species